CCUACGGGUGGCUGCAGUGAGGAAUAUUGGUCAAUGGGCGCGAGCCUGAACCAGCCAAGUCGCGUGAGGGAUGACUGCCCUACGGGUCGUAAACCUCUUUUGCCGGGGAGCAAGGGCCGGGACGUGUCCCGUCCCGGAGAGUACCCGGAGAAAAAGCAUCGGCUAACUCCGUGCCAGCAGCCGCGGUAAUACGGAGGAUGCGAGCGUUAUCCGGAUUUAUUGGGUUUAAAGGGUGCGUAGGCGGGAUUUUAAGUCAGCGGUAAAAAUGCGGGGCUCAACCCCGUCCGGCCGUUGAAACUGGCGUCCUUGAGUGGGCGAGAAGUAGGCGGAAUGCGUGGUGUAGCGGUGAAAUGCAUAGAUAUCACGCAGAACCCCGAUUGCGAAGGCAGCCUUCCGGCGCCCUACUGACGCUGAGGCACGAAAGUGCGGGGAUCGAACAGGAUUAGAUACCCGGGUAGUC
rnacentral:rRNA from 1 species